CCUGAUUUGGUCUUCAUGGUUACCCUUACAAAAACACUGACUUUGUUUCUCAAAUACAGUAAGUGCUUUUUGUUGGGGUAGUUUUGCUGA
rnacentral:pre_miRNA from 1 species